GACAGAGGGAUGCAAGCGUUUAUCCGGAAUUUAUUGGGCGUAAAGAGCUCGUAGGCGGUUUGUCGCGUCUGCCGUGAAAGUCCGGGGCUCAACUCCGGAUCUGCGGUGGGUACGGGCAGACUAGAGUGCAGUAGGGGAGACUGGAAUUCCUGGUGUAGCGGUGAAAAUGCGCAGAUAUCAGGAGGAACACCGAUGGCGAAGGCAGGUCUCUGGGCUGUAACUGACGGCUGAGGAAGCGAAAGCAUGGGGGAGCGAACAGG
rnacentral:rRNA from 1 species